rnacentral:tRNA from 1 species
GCGGGGUUGCGGGUUCGAGCCCCGUC